rnacentral:rRNA from 1 species
AUUGAACGCUGGCGGCAGGCCUAACACAUGCAAGUCGAACGAGUGGCGGACGGGUGAGUAAUGUCUGGGAAACUGCCCGAUGGAGGGGGAUAACUACUGGAAACGGUAGCUAAUACCGCAUACCAUCGGAUGUGCCCAGAUGGGAUUAGAGAGUAGGUGGUGUAACGGCUCACCUAGGCGACGAUCCCUAGCUGGUCUGAGAGGAUUACCAGCCACACGUGAACUGAUACACGUUACAGGCGCCUACGGGAGGCAGCAGUGGGGAGUAUUGCACAAUGGGCGCAAGCCUGAUGCAGCCCUGCCGCGUCUAUGAAGAAUGCCUUCGUGUUUUAAAGUACUUUCAGUGAGUAGGCAUUACUCGCUGAAGAAGCGCCGGCUAACGCCGUGCCAGCAGCCGCGGUAAUAC